rnacentral:rRNA from 1 species
AUGUUGAACAUUGGGCCAGCAAAACAGCCAGCAAUGGCGAUUGUAGGUUGGCCGUUCUUGGCCAAUGCCACAUCAGCAACAAGAUCACCAACAGAAUUCCCCCAUGCCAAGACUGUCAUGCCAAGUAUAGCUGGAGGGAGAUCCAUAAUAACUCCAAUUGCUGCCAGGCAGUUCAGGAGCUCUCCGGCCAUGGUUGAGAUCCAGAAGACGCUCAUUACAAAUGAUAUGAGGGUACUUGCAAUGUUUUCUGUUUCUGGUGAUUCUUUCUCAAAACGAAAGUGGGAUAGAGCCAAACAAAAGCUAACCAGAAGCACAACAGACCAGAGGGGGAAGCGGAUUUGA